UGGGGAAUAUUGCGCAAUGGGCGAAAGCCUGACGCAGCGACGCCGCGUGAGGGAUGAAGGUCUUCGGAUCGUAAACCGCUUUUGUUCAAGGGCAAGGCAGGCUUUCGGGCCUGUUGAGUGGAUUGUUCGAAUAAGCACCGGCUAACUACGUGCC
rnacentral:rRNA from 1 species